AUUGAACGCUGGCGGCAGGCCUAACACAUGCAAGUCGAGCGGAUGAAGGGAGCUUGCUCCUGGGCUCAGCGGCGGACGGGUGAGUAAUGCCUAGGAAUCUGCCUGGUAGUGGGGGAUAACGUCCGGAAACGGGCGCUAAUACCGCAUACGUCCUGAGGGAGAAAGUGGGGGAUCUUCGGACCUCACGCUAUCAGAUGAGCCUAGGUCGGAUUAGCUAGUUGGUGGGGUAAAGGCCUACCAAGGCGACGAUCCGUAACUGGUCUGAGAGGAUGAUCAGUCACACUGGAACUGAGACACGGUCCAGACUCCUACGGGAGGCAGCAGUGGGGAAUAUUGGACAAUGGGCGAAAGCCUGAUCCAGCCAUGCCGCGUGUGUGAAGAAGGUCUUCGGAUUGUAAAGCACUUUAAGUUGGGAGGAAGGGCAGUAAGUUAAUACCUUGCUGUUUUGACGUUACCAACAGAAUAAGCACCGGCUAACUUCGUG
rnacentral:rRNA from 1 species